AUGCAGUUCUCGCUUUCCAGCAAGCGGACUGCCAAGGAAGCUUGGGACGCCAUCGCCGCGGCACGCAUCGGCAGCGACCGUGCUCGCAAGUCCACUCUGCAGGCACUUCGUAAGGAGUGGGAGAGCCUGGGUUUCAAGCCAGGUGAGGACGUUGAUGACUUUGCUCUCCGUCUCAACACUCUGCUGCAGAAGUUGGUGAAGUUUGGUGAUGCCACCUACACCGAGGAGAGAGCUGUCGAGAAGCUUUUUCGGUGCAUCCCCGAGAAGUACAAGCAGAUGGCUCGGUCGAUCGAGUCUUUGCUGGACCUCUCCACGAUGACAAUCGAGGAGGCGAUAGGUCGCCUCAAGGUCGUCGACACCGACGAGCCACAGCCUUCCUCGGGGCCCAUCACCACCGGCGGGAAGCUGCUCCUAACUCGGGAGCCGUGGGAUGCCAGCCUUGGUGACAGGAAGAAGGGGGAGCCUUCUUCCACGACGGGCGGCCCUCUCAUCCACCUCGACGAACCAAAAGCACACGCUCUUCUCGGCGAUGGCUCCGGGAAGGACAAGACUACGGAGUGGUGCCUCGACAUCGGCGCCACCCACCACAUGACCGGUCAAAGGGAAUUCUUCGCCGAGCUCGACUCCGAUGCGCGAGGCUCCGUCAAGUUUGAGGAUGCCUCCGCUCUGGAAAUUAAGGGCGUAGGCUCCGUCAUCUUCACCACCAAGACGGGAGAGCACCGGCUGCUCACCGGUGUCUACUACAUCACCGCGCUAAGGAACUCCAUCAUCAGCUUGGGACAGCUGGAUGAGAACGGCUCACGCUUGCUGAUUGAGCAUGGGGUCCUACGCAUCUAG
rnacentral:rRNA from 1 species